rnacentral:lncRNA from 1 species
CCGAGGCGCCCCUCACCGCGGUCCCGCUCCUCCGGCCACCGUUGGCGGCGAACGGGUGAGACGAUCGGAGCCGGUGUUCCCCGCUGGAGGGUGCGCGGCGAUCGCCCGGCCAGGGCAGGGGAGUGCCGAAACGCCGCUUCCCGUCGGUGAAAGCCCGCUCCCCCACAUCAGGAGCGGCGCCUGCCCCUGGCCCCUCUAUGCGGAGUGAGAGCCGCCUCGCUCGGGCACGGCCGCUCACCGGAGCCAUGGUUCGCUUUCCCGCCGGCUGCCCUCAAGGAGAGCGGUGUCCUCCUCCGUCCCGCUGCCGCAGCGGCAGGGAGAUGCGGGGCCUGACCCGGCCGCGCGGAGCCCGGCGCUGCCGUCCCGCGGGGCUGGGAGCGGGAGGGUGCGAGCGGAGCUCCGAGUGCGCGGAGGGGGACGCGGGGGUCUGUGUGGAAGGGACGCGAAGGUGGCACCGCGAGGAAUCAAUAACGGGAAUUCUCAGUAGUGCGGAAAAGCGCUACGUAACGGUAUUAAUAAAUAACGACUCCAUCCUGGGUCCGAGCAAGGAACAGCGGUGAAGUGGGGGCUCUCGGCUGUAGGGGUGACGUUCCGCAUGCGGUAAAUCGGGUACUCUGCCAAGGACUGGACUUGGGGAAAGCCGUUUACGAAAGGAGGAUACCACCGAGCUUACUUGGCUUCGAACCAAUAUAAAGCCAUAGAUUGACAAUAUCUUUGUGUUCCUGUAUGCACCAUGAGGAAGCAGGUCAGAACAUGCCAAAAGCAAUACAAGUUUAGUCUGUUUUUCACAGUAAGUCUGGAAAUAUAACGGCUUUUUUUUGGAAUCUUGCUCGUCCUGAGGGUGUGACAGGACUGUAUCCGGGGUUGCUGCAGCUGCCUUUUUCUGGCCAGAGAAAUCCAACUUGGUGAGGCUUUUACGGGUGAUAAUGACUAGGGGUAGGGAGGUCUUCUGCUCCUUUCUUGGGUGCAGCAUGAGGGAGUGUAAAAGCUUGGAAGUUACAAAUCUUUUAUUAAAAAAAAUAAACCUUUAAAACUGGAACAACAUUUUAAAAUA